rnacentral:rRNA from 1 species
UCAGGAUGAACGCUGGCGGCGUGCCUAAUACAUGCAAGUCGAGCGAACAGAUAAGGAGCUUGCUCCUUUGACGUUAGCGGCGGACGGGUGAGUAACACGUGGGUAACCUACCUAUAAGACUGGGAUAACUUCGGGAAACCGGAGCUAAUACCGGAUAACAUUUGGAACCGCAUGGUUCUAAAGUGAAAGAUGGUUUUGCUAUCACUUAUAGAUGGACCCGCGCCGUAUUAGCUAGUUGGUAAGGUAACGGCUUACCAAGGCGACGAUACGUAGCCGACCUGAGAGGGUGAUCGGCCACACUGGAACUGAGACACGGUCCAGACUCCUACGGGAGGCAGCAGUAGGGAAUCUUCCGCAAUGGGCGAAAGCCUGACGGAGCAACGCCGCGUGAGUGAUGAAGGGUUUCGGCUCGUAAAACUCUGUUAUUAGGGAAGAACAAAUGUGUAAGUAACUGUGCACAUCUUGACGGUACCUAAUCAGAAAGCCACGGCUAACUACGUGCCAGCAGCCGCGGUAAUACGUAGGUGGCAAGCGUUAUCCGGAAUUAUUGGGCGUAAAGCGCGCGUAGGCGGUUUCUUAAGUCUGAUGUGAAAGCCCACGGCUCAACCGUGGAGGGUCAUUGGAAACUGGGAAACUUGAGUGCAGAAGAGGAAAGUGGAAUUCCAUGUGUAGCGGUGAAAUGCGCAGAGAUAUGGAGGAACACCAGUGGCGAAGGCGACUUUCUGGUCUGUAACUGACGCUGAUGUGCGAAAGCGUGGGGAUCAAACAGGAUUAGAUACCCUGGUAGUCCACGCCGUAAACGAUGAGUGCUAAGUGUUAGGGGGUUUCCGCCCCUUAGUGCUGCAGCUAACGCAUUAAGCACUCCGCCUGGGGAGUACGACCGCAAGGUUGAAACUCAAAGGAAUUGACGGGGACCCGCACAAGCGGUGGAGCAUGUGGUUUAAUUCGAAGCAACGCGAAGAACCUUACCAAAUCUUGACAUCCUUUGAAAACUCUAGAGAUAGAGCCUUCCCCUUCGGGGGACAAAGUGACAGGUGGUGCAUGGUUGUCGUCAGCUCGUGUCGUGAGAUGUUGGGUUAAGUCCCGCAACGAGCGCAACCCUUAAGCUUAGUUGCCAUCAUUAAGUUGGGCACUCUAGGUUGACUGCCGGUGACAAACCGGAGGAAGGUGGGGAUGACGUCAAAUCAUCAUGCCCCUUAUGAUUUGGGCUACACACGUGCUACAAUGGACAAUACAAAGGGCAGCUAAACCGCGAGGUCAUGCAAAUCCCAUAAAGUUGUUCUCAGUUCGGAUUGUAGUCUGCAACUCGACUACAUGAAGCUGGAAUCGCUAGUAAUCGUAGAUCAGCAUGCUACGGUGAAUACGUUCCCGGGUCUUGUACACACCGCCCGUCACACCACGAGAGUUUGUAACACCCGAAGCCGGUGGAGUAACCAUUUAUGG